UAGGGAAUCUUGCACAAUGGACGAAAGUCUGAUGCAGCAAUGCCGCGUGAGUGAGGAAGGCCUUCGGGUUGUAAAACUCUGUUCUAAGGGAAAAAUGUCUUGGGUGCUAAUAUCACUUAGGAGUGAUGGUACCUUAGGAGAAAGCACCGGCUAACUUCGUGCCAGCAGCCGCGGUAAUACGAAGGGUGCAAGCGUUGUUCGGAAUCAUUGGGCGUAAAGCGCGCGCAGGCGGAUGAAUGUGUCAGAUGUGAAAUCACGGGGCUCAACCCCGCUGGUGCGUCUGAAACUGUUUAUCUAGAAUGUCGGAGGGGGUAGGGGAAUUUCACGUGUAGGGGUAAAAUCCGUAGAGAUGUGAAGGAACACCUGAGGCGAAGGCGCCUACCUGGACGAUUAUUGACGC
rnacentral:rRNA from 1 species